CACGUAGGGCGCAAGCGUUGUCCGGAAUUAUUGGGCGUAAAGAGCUCGUAGGCGGCUCGUUGCGUCGGCUGUGAAAACCCGCAGCUCAACUGUGGGCUUGCAGCUGAUACGGGCGGGCUGGAGUUCGGUAGGGGAGACUGGAAUUCCUGGUGUAGCGGUGAAAUGCGCAGAUAUCAGGAGGAACACCGGUGGCGAAGGCGGGUCUCUGGGCCGAUACUGACGCUGAGGAGCGAAAGCGUGGGGAGCGAACAGG
rnacentral:rRNA from 1 species